rnacentral:rRNA from 1 species
ACGCUGGCGGCGUGCUUAACACAUGCAAGUCGAACGAUGAUCAGGAGCUUGCUCCUGUGAUUAGUGGCGAACGGGUGAGUAACACGUGAGUAACCUGCCCCUGACUCUGGGAUAAGCGUUGGAAACGACGUCUAAUACUGGAUAUGAUCACUGGUCGCAUGGCCUGGUGGUGGAAAGAUUUUUUGGUUGGGGAUGGACUCGCGGCCUAUCAGCUUGUUGGUGAGGUAAUGGCUCACCAAGGCGACGACGGGUAGCCGGCCUGAGAGGGUGACCGGCCACACUGGGACUGAGACACGGCCCAGACUCCUACGGGAGGCAGCAGUGGGGAAUAUUGCACAAUGGGCGAAAGCCUGAUGCAGCAACGCCGCGUGAGGGAUGACGGCCUUCGGGUUGUAAACCUCUUUUAGUAGGGAAGAAGGGAGCUUCGGUUCUUGACGGUACCUGCAGAAAAAGCACCGGCUAACUACGUGCCAGCAGCCGCGGUAAUACGUAGGGUGCAAGCGUUGUCCGGAAUUAUUGGGCGUAAAGAGCUCGUAGGCGGUUUGUCGCGUCUGCUGUGAAAUCCCGAGGCUCAACCUCGGGCUUGCAGUGGGUACGGGCAGACUAGAGUGCGGUAGGGGAGAUUGGAAUUCCUGGUGUAGCGGUGGAAUGCGCAGAUAUCAGGAGGAACACCGAUGGCGAAGGCAGAUCUCUGGGCCGUAACUGACGCU